UGGAUGGAGGUCUAGGUUGCCUACUUUUGAU
rnacentral:piRNA from 1 species